rnacentral:miRNA from 1 species
ACACAGGUCACCUAGGGCUCCUGUUAAGAUGCAGAUUCUUGUCCACUAGGCCUGGGGUGGUGCCUGUCUGGGGUUCUGCAUUUCUAACAAGCUCCCAGGUAAUGCUGAU